rnacentral:miRNA from 1 species
CCGUCCUUUGGUUGUUGAGU